UGAUGUUACUAUGAUCUAGAAACAUGAAUAUAUAAAGCUGAAUAUAAUUAUGUUAGAAAUUUCGAUGUUACUAUUCUAAAAUUUCAGUUAAAAAGAAAAGUCUUUCGGAUCUCCACGUUUAUCAAAAAAAAAACUUUGAAGUUUAAUUUUGUAAGAAACUUAUGCUUUAUUUUUCCCAAUUGGCUGAAUAUACAGUUACUUUUAUUUAUCACUGAUUAUCGAAUCUUGCUUGAAUACUAGCUCUAUUACUAUAAAAAAAAAUGUUAGAACCUCCAGAUAAAUCGAACACUAAAUCUGUUGUUUAUGACACUUACAAGUGAUUCAAAUAAAAAUCUAAUCGGCCGGGUCAAACAAAGUUCCGACAAGCAGACUUAUA
rnacentral:lncRNA from 1 species